UCCGUGCCAGCAGCCGCGGUAAUACGGAGGGUGCAAGCGCUGUCCGGGAAUCACUGGGCGUAAAGGGUGUGCAGGCGGGGCAGCAAGUCGGGGGUGAAAUCUGCGGCUCAACCGCAGAAGUGCCUUCGAAACUGCUGCUCUUGAGUCCCGGAGAGGCUGCCGGAAUUCGUGGUGUAGCGGUGAAAUGCGUAGAUAUCACGAGGAACACCAGAGGCGAAAGCGGGCAGCUGGACGGGUACUGACGCUCAGGCACGAAAGCGUGGGGAGCAAACAGGAUUAGAUACCCUGGUAGUCCACGCUGUAAACGAUGGAUGCUCGCCGUUGUCUCGUCAAGGGGCAGUGGCUAAGCUAACGCGCUAAGCAUCCCGCCUGGGGAGUACGAUCGCAAGGUUGAAACUCAAAGGAAUUGACGGGGGCCCGCACAAGCGGUGGAGCAUGUGGCUCAAUUCGAUGCAACGCGAAGAACCUUACCUAGGCUCGAACGCUAGGCGACCGCUCCUGAAAGGGAGCUUUCCGCAAGGACGCCUAGCGAGGUACUGCAUGGCUGUCGUCAGCUCGUGUCGUGAGAUGUUGGGUUAAGUCCCGCAACGAGCGUAACCCCUGUUGCUAGUUACCAUCGGGUAAUGCCGGGGACUCUAGCGAGACUGCCUGCGCAAGCAGUGAGGAAGGUGGGGAUGACGUCAAGUCAUCAUGGUCCUUACGCCUAGGGCUGCACACGUGCUACAAUGGCCGGUACAACGGGUAGCCACUCUGCGAGGAGGAGCGAAUCCCUAAAAGCCGGUCUCAGUUCGGAUUGGAGUCUGCAACUCGACUCCAUGAAGCAGGAAUCGCUAGUAAUCGCGGAUCAGCAAUGCCGCGGUGAAUACGUUCCCGGGCCUUGUACACACCGCCCGUCAAGCCAUGGAAGCUGAGAGCACCCGAAGUCCGUGACCCAACCCUUUGGGAG
rnacentral:rRNA from 1 species